UGACCUCGGAUCAGGUAGGGAUACCCGCUGAACUUAAGCAUAUCAAUAAGCGGAGGAAAAGAAACCAACCGGGAUUGCCUCAGUAACGGCGAGUGAAGCGGCAAGAGCUCAAAUUUGAAAGCUGGCUCCUUCGGGGUCCGCAUUGUAAUUUGCAGAGGAUGCUUCGGGUGCGGCCCCUGUCUAAGUGCCCUGGAACGGGCCGUCAGAGAGGGUGAGAAUCCCGUCUGGGAUGGGGUGUCCGCGCCCGUGUGAAGCUCCUUCGACGAGUCGAGUUGUUUGGGAAUGCAGCUCUAAAUGGGUGGUAAAUUUCAUCUAAAGCUAAAUACUGGCCGGAGACCGAUAGCGCACAAGUAGAGUGAUCGAAAGAUGAAAAGCACUUUGAAAAGAGAGUUAAAAAGCACGUGAAAUUGUUGAAAGGGAAGCGCUUGCGACCAGACUCGCCUCCAGGGUUCAGCCGGCAUUCGUGCCGGUGUACUUCCCUGGGGGCGGGCCAGCGUCGGUUUGGGCGGCCGGUCAAAGGCUCCCGGAAUGUAGUGCCCUCCGGGGCACCUUAUAGCCGGGAGUGCAAUGCGGCCAGCCUGGACCGAGGAACGCG
rnacentral:rRNA from 2 species